rfam:Camelus ferus unplaced genomic scaffold scaffold287, whole genome shotgun sequence.
GGGUGUAGCUCAGUGGUAGACUGAAUGCCUAGAACGCAUGAGGUCCUGGGUUCAAGCCCCAGUACCUCCA